GCUUGAUGCAGCAACGCCGCGUGAGGGAUGAAGGCCUUCGGGUUGUAAACCUCUUUCAUGGGGGAAGAGGAGGCGGGUCCCGCAGGAAUAGCUCCUGCCUAAUCCCUGGCAGCCAGCCCCGGGAUAAAA
rnacentral:rRNA from 1 species